rnacentral:rRNA from 1 species
CGUCCCGCCGGCGACCGGCGCACGGGUGAGUAACACGUAUGCAACCUGGCCGCCACAGGGGGAUAACCCGCGGAAACGCGGCCUAAUACCCCGUGACGCCACCGGAGGGCAUCCUCCGGUGGCCAAAGGAGCGAUCCGGUGGCGGAUGGGCAUGCGGCACAUUAGCUAGACGGCGGGGUGACGGCCCACCGUGGCGACGAUGCGUAGGGGUUCUGAGAGGAAGGCCCCCCACACUGGGACUGAGACACGGCCCAGACUCCUACGGAAGGCAGCAG